rnacentral:rRNA from 1 species
GACGAACGCUGGCGGCGUGCCUAACACAUGCAAGUUGAGCGACGAACCAGGGCUUGCCCUGGGGCAAAGCAGCGAACGGGUGAGUAACACGUGGGUAACCUACCCCGAUAACCGGGACAACCCGAGGAAACUCGGGCUAAUACCGGAUGUGCUCACUGGACUUCGGUUCAGUGCGUAAAGGAAGCUUCGGCCUCCGUAUCGGGAGGGGCCCGCGGCCCAUUAGUUGGUUGGUGAGGUAACGGCUCACCAAGACCGCGAUGGGUAGCUGGUCUGAGAGGACGAUCAGCCACACUGGGACUGAGACACGGCCCAGACUCCUACGGGAGGCAGCAGUGGGGAAUCUUGCGCAAUGCGCGAAAGCGUGACGCAGCAACGCCGCGUGGGGGAAGAAGGCCUUCGGGUUGUAAACCCCUUUCAGGAGGGACGAAGGUUAGGCGGUGAAUAGCCGUCCGGACUGACGGUACCUCCACAAGAAGCCCCGGCUAACUACGUG